CGGAGAGGUAGUGACGACAAUUAACUCAUGAAAUAACUAUGUUAUUUCUUGAAGGAAUGAGUAAGAAGUAAAUAUUCUUACAAAAUCAAUUGGAGGGCAAGUCUGGUGCCAGCAGCCGCGGUAAUUCCAGCUCCAAUAGUGUAUAUUAAAGUUGUUGUGAUUAAAACGCUCGUAGUUGAAUUUAAAUGAAUUGAUGUUUAAAUUCUUAUUGCUUUCAAAUUCAAUUUGAAUCUGAUAAGAAUUUAAGUUAUAUACAUCAAUAUAUAAGGACAUUACUACUAUUCAAAUGAAUAGUAGUAAUGAUUACUUUGAAAAAAAUAAAGUGUUUAAAGCAAAACAUAUUUGUUAAUGAAUAAUGAAGCAUGGGACAAUAUCUAAAGGAGAAUCAAUUUAUUGAUUUUCAAGAAAAAGAUUAAAAGGAAUAAUUGGGGUGAUUCAGAAAAUUUUGGGAGAGGUGAAAAUCCAUGAUCAAAAUAAGAUGAACGAGAGCGAAAGCAUUUCACUCAAUUAUAUUCAUUAAUCAAGAACGAAAGUUAGGGGAUCGAAGACGAUCAGAUACCGUCGUAGUCCUAACUAUAAACAAUGUCAACCAAGGAUUGGAUAAAUUAAUGA
rnacentral:rRNA from 1 species